UGUAGUCAUAUGCUUGUCUCAAAGAUUAAGCCAUGCAUGUCUAAGUAUAAGCAAUCUAUACAGUGAAACUGCGAAUGGCUCAUUAAAUCAGUUAUCGUUUAUUUGAUAGUACCUUACUACUUGGAUAACCGUGGUAAUUCUAGAGCUAAUACAUGCUAAAAACCUCGACUUCGGAAGGGGUGUAUUUAUUAGAUAAAAAACCAAUGCCCUUCGGGGCUCCUUGGUGAUUCAUGAUAACUUAACGAAUCGCAUGGCCUUGUGCCGGCGAUGGUUCAUUCAAAUUUCUGCCCUAUCAACUUUCGAUGGUAGGAUAGUGGCCUACCAUGGUUUCAACGGGUAACGGGGAAUUAGGGUUCUAUUCCGGAGAGGGAGCCUGAGAAACGGCUACCACAUCCAAGGAAGGCAGCAGGCGCGCAAAUUACCCAAUCCCGACACGGGGAGGUAGUGACAAUAAAUACUGAUACAGGGCUCUUUUGGGUCUUGUAAUUGGAAUGAGUACAAU
rnacentral:rRNA from 1 species